UCAAGCUACAACUAGUCUUUGCUUUAUGCUAUUUUAGCAGCAUAAAUGGUAUGCUACCACUUUAAGACAGCCAAUUUCAGUGCCGAGAUAAAGGGUACGUCUCCACCUAUCAUGAGGCGCUUUGCGUCAUGACGUCUCCCCGCUCCUGGUGUUGCAGCUGCUAACUGUUCUCUGAUGGUGGGGCUGUAAUCUACUGGUUUGCUGCUAUCAUAUGAGCUCUCCUGUUGGCUUCCACCUGGAUGUCACUCGCUGCUGUUUUGUCUACCGGAGGAUCAAUUAAAGAUCAACUUGGGCCAGCUCCUGCUGGCUGGGGUUUUGGCUGCACCACUUUUAAUAGAAUUGACCGAAGUAUUGUAUUUGUUGUGACGCUAUUGUUUUGUUUGGGCUGUGUUUAUUUCUUCUAGGAACUGAGGCUCCGUAUGGUGGUGGUGGUGACGACCCUUGGUGGCGGUGUCCCAUAUUGUUUCUGUUGAUGAUGCACCCUUUUUCUCCUUGUUUACUGUUUUUUUUUUUUUUUUUUUUUUUUUUUGUGUGUGUCUAGGGUAAUCCCUUUUCUUCACUCAAUGUUGCCCCUUUUUCUUCAGUCCUUUCCCCCUCCCCACUGGUAAGCCUCAGUGUUCCCUGAAAUUAAACAUUGUUUGUUCAGCCCAAAUCUUAUCAAGCAAUUGUUGAAUUGUUUUGUCUUUGCCAUUUUAAAAUACCAGAAAUGAAAAGAAAUCUCUAAAUAUUGACUUAUUUGGCACAUUAAUACAUUUUGUAAAACUUUGGAAUCUUGUCUCCUCUCUGCAGUAAAACGAACCUGUGUCCUUUUACUUAUUAAAUGUCUUGGAGUACGAUUCCAGGCUGCGUUGUUGGUUUCCACUUCUCAUAAACUGACCAUAGAUUUAAUGGUGUGGACCAUCAGGGUUACACAAUUGUAAAGAGAACCCACCCCCAGGUUACCACACUAUGCUCUUAGUAACCUUCAUUUGUGCUCCUUUGCAGGUUGUUUUACCUAAAACUUCAGAUAACUUGUUGAUGCCUGACUUUGCUCUCAGCAUCGUUGUGCUGUUUUGGAUUUUCAACUUCUGGAGAAAGGUCUCCUAUUUUUGUGGAUUAAGAUCCAGGAUUCCUGUUUACUUCAUCUGGACAAAAACCAGCUGGCAGCUUCCUGUUUCACUCAUCUGAACCUUGGCAUAAGCAUAACCUGUUAACCCUCCAACGCAAGUACCUCCAUACUGAACUCCUCAUCAUCCCUCAACCCCCCCCCUUGGACGUUGGAUUACUCCAACUCUUGCCCAUAGACUGAUGGAGAUAGGCACCAGCUCCCCCGCGACCCACUAUGGAAUAAGCGGUAGAAAAUGACUGACUGACUGAUUUGACUCUUUGAUGAAAUUCAGAAUUAUUGAGAUUCCCCUGCACAUUUGUGCUGUUAUAUAGUCAAACUCUAGAGUUAGUAUAUAUUUGUACUAUACUUAUAUUUUAUCACAGGCAUGGCAAUGAUGAAAAAAUCUGAUAACCUUUUACAAAAUCCAGCAGUGAAGAAAAUGACAUUUCUCUUGAGUGUACAUGUGGUGCACUGUCAUGACUGUUUAAAAAAUGAGCAGUGUUUGGUCAUGGCCUGACCACUGCAAUUGGACCCCACAGGCAGUUAAUCAAAGCUUUAGGGUAUGCUGCAAUUCAUAAUUUACACCUGCACAUGGACACAUAGGUCAUCUGAGUUACACCUGCAAACUGACAUGCUUGCAGAAUCAUGCACACAAACAGAAAAUCCACUUCACAAUAACACCCAGAGGUACUGUAUUGCAGCAAAUGUCAGCAUGUGAGUCACAUUAACAAGAUUAAAGACCACAUUCAUAUUUUAUGUGAGGUUGGGUGGGGAUACAUGUGAGUCAGCAUAGGUUUGUGUGUUGGGGUUAUCCUCUAGCUUUUUUGCUAAGUUCUUGCAAGCAAUCUUUAAAAAAAAAGAAAUGGUUAAUAAAA